GAUCCAAGUUGACAUGGGACAACUGCCAACACUCACACUCACUCAGUGACUUCAUAAUGAACUUGUUAAGAAUAUUCCUGGUAGGAGAUGCUACUUGCUAGAGCUGUUGAUUGUAUACUACUACAUUGGAUUUUAUUCUGGGUUAAGACAAUAAAUAAUUCUUUGUAAGUGUUGUGACUGAAUUAAGACAAAAAUGUAAAUUUGUAAAAAAGGAUUAAUGUAAGAAAACAAAUAGAUAAAUAGAAGCUAAA